rnacentral:tRNA from 1 species
CUCUCGGUAGCCAAGUUGGUUAAAGGCGCAAGACUGUAAAUCUUGAGAUCGGGCGUUCGACUCGCCCCCGGGAGA